rnacentral:rRNA from 4 species
AACUUUCAACAAUGGAUCUCUUGGCUCUGGCAUCGAUGAAGAACGCAGCGAAAUGCGAUAAGUAGUGUGAAUUGCAGAAUUCAGUGAAUCAUCGAAUCUUUGAACGCACAUUGCGCCCCUUGGUAUUCCAUGGGGCAUGCCUGUUCGAGCGUCA